rnacentral:rRNA from 1 species
UACGUAGGGAGCAAGCGUUGUCCGGAAUCAUUGGGCGUAAAGCGCGCGUAGGUGGCUUCGUAAGUCCGUUGUGAAAGUCAAAGGCUCAACCUUUGAAAGCCGAUGGAUACUGCGGAGCUAGAGUACGGAAGAGGCGAGUGGAAUUCCUGGUGUAGCGGUGGAAUGCGCAGAUAUCAGGAGGAACACCAGUGGCGAAGGCGGUUACCUGGAGCUUUGCUGACGCUGGAUGCGCGAAAGCGUGGGGAGCGAUC